rnacentral:rRNA from 1 species
AGAGUUUGAUCCUGGCUCAGGAUGAACGCUGGCGGCGUGCCUAAUACAUGCAAGUCGAACGAGGUGCUUUUGUAGCAAUACGAGAGUAUCCUAGUGGCGAACGGGUGAGUAACGCGUUGGUGACCUACCCCAAAGUGUGGGAUAACAGUCCGAAAGGAUUGCUAAUACCGCAUGUGGUCUUCGGGUUUAGAAACUGAUGACUAAAGGAGCAAUUCGCUUUGGGAGGGACCUGCGUCCCAUCAGCUAGUUGGUGAGGUAAUGGCUCACCAAGGCUACGACGGGUAGGGGACCUGAGAGGGUGACCCCCCACAAUGGAACUGAAACACGGUCCAUACACCUACGGGUGGCAGCAGUAGGGAAUAUUGCACAAUGGGCGAAAGCCUGAUGCAGCAACGCCGCGUGUGCGAUGAAGGCCUUCGGGUCGUAAAGCACUUUCUGGGAGAUGAGCAAGGACGGUAUCUCAGGAAUAAGUCUCGGCUAACUACGUG